rnacentral:sRNA from 1 species
UGAAGAGAAAAAAAUGAACUGGUAUCAAUCUAGGAAAAAUAAAUCUAGUCAUUACAUUAGUCUUGGUUGUUUUGGUGAUAUGAGGUUAACUUUUAAGGUUGUCCAUUCCAACUGACCUGCUGGGAAUUUCAUUGAUAGUAAGUAACUCUAAACAUGUAGCAAGGUUAGGACAAUUGAGAAUAUCCUGAAAGUCUCAUAGGGGGCUACCGUUGAAUUGGGGAAGUAAUUAGUCAAGCUUGUUAAAUCAGCCCUUCUUAACAGCAGCAGUGAUCAGAUACACUGCUCUAUUCUGAGGGCUUACUCCAACAUAUUGUAACAUUCACUUCUUGUUUCUGGAAAUCUGUCCCCCGCAGCUUUACAACCUCCUGUCUUGUGGAUGUUAGAACUCCAUCUGUUUCACCAGCCCACUCAAAGAUUUUCUUAAUUUAAAUGACUGACUUCUGGGUUGUGAAUUAUUUGCAAAAGAACCGAUGAAUACCUUGGGACCUGUCCCUUUCACCCUUUUACCCUCAGCCAUAAUUACCCCAGGUCCACAGACGACUGAGUCUCGUUUCAGACCUACAAUUAUGUGCCAGGCGGGAAAAGGAAAACGUUGCCCGGAUCUACAAUCUAUAUGUUGCUAUGAUACAAACAAACUCGGUCAAUUUUUUUUUCUCCUUUCUGUACAGAAGAUGAAAACUAGAGGGACUGAUUAUUUUCUACCUUAGAUUUUGGCUUAGGAAUUGAAGCAUCACUCAUUUCUAGCAAUAGGCAUGGAUUUUGAAACUGUCAUCUCCCCCUGUCAGGCAAGCACUCACAGGAUGCCCAGACAGCGAGGAGAGAUAACAGGAUUCUGGGAAUCCAAGCGAUCUGCCUGGUCUGGCCUUGAGAAGCAGAAGCACUAUAGUGCCUCAUUAAAUGGUCUUCUCCUUUCCUUUGGGUUUCAUCCAGGACUGCAGAGGCAUCCUGGCUUGUGGAGCAUCGCUCUUCUGCUUGUGGCUGGUGUAAACAGAUCGGAACUUGAUAUACGUGUGCACUCUUUGCCUGAACGUUUUCAUUUCUGGAGUGGUUACAGCUGCUCCCAAUGCUGCUACAAAAUACCUUUUAACCAAGAAGACUGCGGCUUCCCUGCUGUAAGCCACUGUGGAUGGAUGCGUGCUUCAUCGGUUGUGCUCUGACACUGUAGAAAUAGAGACUCAACAGCAAAUGCUUCUUCCCUUUGAUUCCAUUAUAGGCUGCUGUACCAACUCACAGCUGGAAACAAAUUAAAGUCGUUUUAUUUUCUGAUAAUACAAGGAAAGUGGUUUCCAAGGAAAGGUCCUAUUAUAAUCAUUCAGGAUGUUUUCCCUUGCAGGAAUAUGUGUCUGCCUUGGCUAAAUUAGAUUGGUUUGCAUUUAAAUGUUGAUAACUAAGAGAGUUCUUACAUGACUGAAGUUUUGCAAGGUGUUGCAUUUGGGCAGUUAUAUGUCAUUGCCACCUGGUAGGUCCCGCUUCAUGUAAUCGUUGGUUGUGUGUUUCCUUUUCUUCCAAAUUGUGGGAAUAUUUCAAAAUCAAAUUGCUGGCCCAUUUAUUUUAGAAUUAUUCUUGUUUAUAUUAAGAUAUUGGCCUUUAGUUUCUUUUGUGCUUCUGCAUGCAUUUUUCUUUUUGGAAAAAAAAAUGAACAUUCUUAGUCUCUCUGGAUGUCAAGUUUCUUUCUCUAACUUUUAAAAUUAUCUGUGAAUCUCUCUCCACGUAUGCCUGAAAUACAAUCAGAUAAGGCAAACACUUCACACACCCAAGGGAACUGAAGGCCUUUCCAUCAGAUGAGUAUGUCUGUGAGGUGUUUUCCUUUCUUUAAAUUAGAACAAAACCCGAAAAAUGGGCCUCAAGACAAGACCCACAAUGCCUUUGGCUACCUUUAUUAGUUUAAGCACCUUGCUGACAUUUGAUAGCAAAACACACAAACAGCCGUCUGUGUCCUUUCUUCCUGUCUUGCAUUUGCCCUUUAGCUAAUGGCUUUAAUUUUUAUUCUUCUAAGAAAGAUUGCUUGAAUUACAAAGUAGAGACCAAGUCAUUUCUCUCUUCUUCUUUUUCUUAGUGAAGUCACAGUAAGAGAGAAUCAGUUAAAAAGACAGCUCAGAAUUUUUUAAAAGAAUUUCAAUUGUUUAAAAAAGGCAAAACAUUAUCCUCUACAACCAUAUUAACCAUGGGCUUGGGCUAGACUUCUCAAAAAUAGCAUGGUCUUUCUCCACCUAUUGCUGUUUUCAACAAAUGAUCAUAGGUAAUAGCUGAGGAAACUAAGAACGUACAAGCAUAAAGUAUACCAGUAUUCCACCCUGCCAUAGUUUUAACAUACAUAUACAUAAAUAUAAUGUAUAAUAUAUAUAAAUAUAAAAUCAAGGAUGUCACACUGAGACCCAAAAAUAUUGUGCAAAUGUGUGUCACCUAUCCUUUGUCUCUCUGGCCACAUUUACUGUCAGCUUUGCAAAUGCAGAAUAUCUCCAUUGAACGUGUCACAGCUUUCCCCAUUGCUACUACUCUCUGCCAAUUUCGAGAUGUGCAUGCUUGUCUUAGGGUUUCCAUUGCUCGGAGGAGACACUGGGGCCACAGACAUCAUCAAAAAGCACAGUAUUUAAUUGGAGGAUGGCCUAACAUUCAUAGCUUUUGUCCAUUUUCAACAUGUUGGGAAGUGUGGUGGUGUGCAGGCAGACACAGUGUUGGAGAGACAGUUGAGGGAUUUACAUCCAGAUCCAAAGGCAGCAGGAAGAGAGGAAGACCCUAGGUCUGGCUUGACCUUCUGAAACCUCAAAGCCCACCCUUUCCCUACGAUACACUUCUUCCACAAGGCCAUACUUACUUCACAAAGGCCAUGCUUCCAAUAAUGCCACUCCCUAUGUGUCUGUGCGGGGUGGGAAUUUUCAUUCAAAGCACCACAAAGCCCAAACACCAGUUAUAUAUCCUUGGGUAUUCAUUUCCUUACAAAAGGUUCAAGGUCAUACAGAACAUAAAAGAAAUGCAUUUGUAUGUUUUCUGCUGUUGAAAAUUUAGUUCUCAGAAAUAAAUUUAAAAAUAGAACAACUCUCUGAGGGCAUAAGUAAGAUUUGCCUCUCUUAUAUGUUGCAUAUACAAAGGCAUACUAAAUGUUUUAGUUGAUCAAUUAAUUCAAAACUUGAAGUCAUAUAUUUCAGAUGUCUUGGCAGGAUUAAGGGUUUACUACGUGUCUGUGGGUGUCCUGUGCAUCUGUUAGAUCAUUUCUGAACUUUUAAUUUGAACAUUUUUGUUCCUCUCAUACCACAAGAAUGUUCUUUUUGAGAUGGGACUGUUAUUUGAAAGUUUGAUAUUUGUACCUUAAAGAAUCAUGAAUUGGGAUAUCAGCUAAUUCAUAAGAAAGUAAAAAAAGGGGGAGCUCACUGACAUUUUGUUAACUUUUCAUUAGUUCAUUUAAAAGCAAAAUUAGUCCUAGAGUAACAAAUAAUAUGUAGAAACCAAUUCUCUUCAUAUGUUGAUUUUAGUUUUGAGUUACAUAGAUUCCAUUCAGCUAGCAGUAGCCAUAUGUUAUGCCACUUAACAGCUUAGGAGAAUGAUUGCUGGUCAUGACUAGAGUUCAUAUCUCAUUAUUCUUUGGCUCUAGUUUCAAACAGGGCCAUGUUAAAAAUUCCUAGUUGAUGGUUGAUCAGUGACCCAAUGAAGUGAGUUGUUGAAAUAUCAUUGCAGUUCAUAGGAGCCACCUGUGUGAUUCGUGAUGUGAUUGCAUGCAACAUUCUUGCUGACAACGUCAGACAGGGUCCAAUGGUUAAUGGUCCAUGGAGAAUUAACUACUCAUAUCCCCAAAGGUCCAUUUUGUAGGGAAGGUAUGAUGCCCAGUGACAAAGCUUGCAACUCCAUCGCCUCUCCAGUGUGGCUUGCAGUAUUAUUUCUAGCUUCCUAUAUUCCAGACUGUUUUGAUUGAUUUCUCAGUUUUGUCCAAGUAUGUACUAUGACAUAAUGAUUCAGAUACUCUUGUUUUUAUAUUAUGUAAAUACAGACUUGUACUUCCUUCACCCAAUAUCUAUAAGUGGAGCAGUGUCUGAAACAUAGCAUUCUUUAGUAACAAAUUUAUUAAUCAUAUAUCCAGAGAUGUAAUAUAUGUAUGAACAUAACCACAAUUUAGAAAGUAUACCUAAGACAAAUUAAAAUCUGUCUUCUUUUAGAAAAACCUUUCAGCAGUCACAAUGCCUAUUAUUAAUAUUAUUAUUAGUUAACACUUACUUGUCAUAAUUUAGAUGGUAAGAACCUUUCAAUUACAAUGUUCAGUAUGAGAUAAAGGUUUUCACUCUCAAUCUUUUUGUGCAGCUGCUUUAAAACUUUUUUAUACAGGGGAAACUUAUGACAAUUGGAAUUAUUAAAAUUCCCUUCAGGUGGAAACAAAUGGAUACAAAGUAAAAUGGCAAAUUUUGGGAGUGUGAAACUGAUGUGGGGCACAUAGACAAAAUGCUAAAGUUUAUUUGACGCAGACGAUUUUGAGGCUCUAGCAUACUGGAAGCAAACACAUUAAACCUGCAUGCAAGAAUAUUACAUAGCUGAGCAUGGCGACGUGUGAGGAGUAAAGGAGAUCUGGGUAAUCUGGGCAAUACGUUAGAUUGUCUGAGAUAUCGGUUGUUAGCUGACUCUCUGAGAGGAAUCUUGUGAGUUAUGCCUAAGUGAUGAGACUUGGGAAAAUAUUGUGAGAAAAAUAUCGUGCCUCAGGUUUCCACUGCUCUAAUAAAUGCCCGAGAUAAGCAGUCUAUAACUGCACGCAGUUUACCUUGCUGGACAGUCUUAUCUCAUGGUCAUUUGUUCUAAUUGCUUUCUGUGUGUGUUAAGUCAGCAGUGUGAGGGAAGCUUUUGUCAGAACCAGCCUUUCCUGUCAUAGCAGGAAGCAAAACACAGCACAGCAAAAACGGGGCUCUGACAAUCCCCUUUGAGGCCACAGCUCUGCUCGUGUAAAAUACCCAACAAGGUCACAUAUCUUAAAAUAUUUCAUUGCAUCCUAAGAAUGAGAGUCUGUUUAAAAUGAUUUACUGUAUCUGACUUUGGAAAAGUUUCAACUUUGAACGAUGGUGGCUUCUACAGCAAGUAAGAAAGAAACAAGUUUGGCAGCCCUGGGUAGGAAGGGGUAAGACUGGAGAGUAUAUCAAGGGGUUAGAAGUAAAAAAAAUACUGGAAAGAAAGAAAUUAGACACUAGAAAGAAUCCAGCUCAAAUAUGCAUCAAAUUGUGUGUGAGGACUGUGUCCACCCCAAAGCUAGUGAAUGCCAAAGAAGUAGCUCACAUCUGGGCUGAGUCACGAGUCAUACAUAGCCCUGCUGAGAGCUAGCAUUGCACAGCUAAGAGAUCAUGUCCUACUUCAGACUUACGCCUAUAAGAUAAGAUAUUACACAAGUGGUCUCUACAGUUUAUUAAACUAAAAAAUAUUCUCUAUCUAUUUUCAAGAUUAUUGAAAUAUUCUCAUUUUUGUUUCAGAGAUACGGUCUUACCAAAAUACCAGCCUGGCCCUAAACUCAACAGUCAUCCUGCCCCAUAUUCUUGAGUGCUAAUGUUAUAGACAUUCAACCCAAUGUUUGAUUCUUCAUGUAUUUUGAGGAAGAGACAGUUGGAAUAUAAAUCUUCUGGUAUUGCCCAAGCUUUCAUUUCAUGAACUUUCAAAAGGGAUUGAUAAAUAUCAGUUUUGUUUAUAUUUAUGUAUUUAACAGGGGAACCAAGGAUCACAUGAAUAUCAAGCAUCCAAUGGCAUGUUCAGAGUUAAAUAAAGGUGUCAAUCAUCCAAUGAUGUGUUCAGAAUUAAAUAAAGGUGUCAAUCAUCCAAUGACAUGUUCAGAGUUAAAUAAAGAUGUGCCAUUUGCAUGUUUCCUGACUCCCAAUGGUUGGAAUCAACCUCCAAACGAUUAAUCACUUAGCUAAGGUUUAAAGUCUCUAUAAAUGUGCCUAAUAUAUAAAAAUAAAAUUAAUUUUGAUUCAUGUAGCAGCUUAUAAGCAAAUAUAAUUUACUUUAGAAUUUUACUGUGGCAAGUCAUAAAAUGAAAACAUAAAGAGGGCAACUGUAGAUUUUCCAAUAAAUUGAGACUGUUAUUGCCAUGAAAAUACCAAGCUGUAUAUUCCUUGGCUGAGAAAAAGAUAGUUAACAGAACACCAUGAUUUCAUUUCUGCUCACAUUGAUGAUUUUAAUUGAUUUCCUUGUGUAUUGAAAUAAUUAGGAAAAUUUUCUCAGAAGCAAGUGAUUGGUUUUAGAAGACAUAAAGCAUUGCUUAGAAUGUUCUUGGGUGUAUUGCUAUUGAAGUCGAGUCUCUACCAUGGAUCUCUUGAGAUUAUUCUAACAAUAUGAAAUGUGACCGAAACUGAGAGAAGUUACCCGAAGGCAUUUUUGUUUUAUACUUGAAUUUUAUUUUGUCAUUUGUUCUUAUUAGCAACCAUUAAGCAAUUUCAUAAUUAUAAGCUCUAUUAACAUUUUAAUGAGUCUAGUGGCCAUUGCUAAAUGUAAUUAAAUUAGUUUUAUUUUAUGACAUUUUCAAACUGUGAUUAAAUUAAUAGUUGUUGUGCUUAGAAGAAUAAAACCAAGGAGAGACUGCUAUUCGCCAAACUGAAGCAAAAAGAAAGUUGACCAUUGAGUUAAUUCACAAGAUAAACCUUUAAUUGCUAAGUUUGAAAACAGUGUAGUGAUAAUGGUAACAUUUUACUCAUAAAUCAGUUUUCAGGUAAACAAUGAGAAAAGUAAAACUAAGUAGGUUCUUCAGGUCCUGUCGCUUCCCUUGUACCUGCAGGCUGUCGCUCACUGAGAUGGAAGAAACUGAACCUGUUGAGCCACUGACUUUGUCAUAGAUACGCAAUAACUUGGAACUGGUGGUGAAUAUAGAUUCUGCUCAAGAAAACAACAGCUGGUGAUGCAGUUAAAUUCUUCUGAAGUCUAGAGUUUCUGUAAGUAUUAAUCACUUUUUAUUUAUUUUUCUAUGAUCGGUAAGCAUUUUAAGAACUAUUUUACCUUAAUAUCUUAAAAUUGGUGGAAAUUCCUUGGUCGUUUUUCAAAUCACCAUAUAGAUGUGUUCCCUGAGUAUGGGUAUUAAUAAGUUAACCCUCUAAGAAUUCUGUGACAAUCAAAUUCAAAAAAAUUUUGACAAUAUAAUUUGUAUUCACAAUAAUUACAAAUUAACA